rnacentral:lncRNA from 1 species
GAGGACUGUUCCCAGGAGCCCUUAAUCCUCUGCCCCUUCUAGCCUUUGUGUGCGCCCUAGAGUGGGUGGUAGCAGCCAAAAAGGCUCUCGAGCAAAGGGCUACAGGUGCCGAUAGUUGGAAGUCCAGCCAGUACACAGCAGAGCCUCCUUUGCAGCCACGAGACCCAGUUCCAGCCAAAGAGAUGUGAGGGGAAGUCAGCUUGGGGCUUCUGGGAAAGAGUUUCCUCCUUGAGAAGAAAAGCCCCUUUUCCCACCAUCACUGCUAUUCCUUCUUGUUUGGAUGCUCGUAAAAUGUCCUAAUACUUGGAGCUGUGGCAGCCAUCUUGGGAACAUAAGUUAAGAAGCAUGAGGAUGAAAAGCUGACUUGUUGAGAGUGGCAGAGUAGAUCCUCCUUCCCAAAGAGGAUCUGGGAAGAGCCUGAGAGUUUUUGACUUCGUAGAAUUUCCGAACCAGCCCAUAACUACCUUCCUUUAAGUUCCUAGGUUUGUGAGAUGAUCAAAUGACUGUUGAUUGAGCCACUGCUAGUUAGGUUUUCUGUUAACUUGCAAGCAGAUGCAUCCUGUUACCAUAUUUGUAUGUGCUUAUGUGGGGCAUACAGAUGAGUGUGGUUCCUUGAGGGCACUGUGGUAUAACAGGAAAGAGCACUAACUUUGAGAGUCAAAAGCUGGGGAUAACUGGCUCUGAAAUGAUAGUCUGAGCCUUGGCUUACUGAUCGAUAAAACUGGAAGAAUGCCACUGAACCCACAGGGCUGUUGGGAGGACUAAAUAAAAUAAUACAAAUGAAAGCACAUUGCAACUGAGCAAGGGUUGCAUAGAUGUAAGAUGUUGUUAGAUAUCCUGCUCUUUGACCAUAGUGGAGGAGGGAUGAAGGCAUGCAGGUAGGAAUGACUUAAGUGAAUUUCGAUUUUGUCAACACCCCCGCCACCAUACCCCUCUUUGUGAUCUCCACUGAAAUAUGCCCAAAGGACUCAAGCUACCCCCUCAAUGCCCAGUACCCUCUAGCUCUCCAUUUUCCAUACUUUAAGGCUAUGUUUUUCCAACUUCUCCUCCUAUCUCAAUCCUCUCAAAAAGAAAUGGACUCAUCUUGUGCCCCAUCCCUUCAGGCCCAGUUAAUUGUCACUCACCAACCUGGUAUGUGUAGGUGUGUGUCAGAGACUUCUUCUGUUACCCUUGCCAAACAACAUGUGUUUUUUUGUUUGUUUGUUUUUGAGGCAGAGUCUCGCUCUGUUGCCCAGGCUGGAGUGCAGUGGCAUGAUCUCGGCUCACUGCAACCUCCGCCUGCCAGGUUCAAGCGAUUCUCCUGCCUCAGCCUCCCAAGUAGCUGGGAUUACAGAUGCGCAUCCCCAUGCCCAGCUAAUUUUUGUAUUUUUUUAGUAGAGAUGGGGUUUCACCAUGUUGGCCAGGCCAGUCUUGAACUCCUGACCUCAAGUGAUCUGCCCGCCUGGGCCUCCCAAAGUGCUGGGAUUACAGACGUGAGCCACCGCACCAGCCAACAUGUGUUUUUGUGGAGUCUUAAACCAAUAACGUGACAAUAGGAGUACACAUUUCAGGCUAUUGCAAGAAGUCAAGGAAAAGCACUUGGCUUCUUGGUGCCUCUUGGAGACCCAACUGGGAGAGCUGCUCAGCUCAGAACUAUUCCCCUUUCUGGGAAGGACGUAAUGCACAGGUAUGUACCCCAAUGGCCUCCUCUGUGCUCGGUAACCUUGUCGCUAACCAGGAGUGCGGUAUUGACUCAGGCUGGGGCAACCAGAGUCCUGAGGUCUUUAAAAUUGCAGUUGCAGAAAUAGAUUCAUCACUCUCUAGUGAGGUCUGAGUUCUUGGUUCUGGUUAUUGAUGAGGUUCACCUGCAGCCCUGCCCUUCCUCUUGCAAUGUGAAACCUUCCUAAUAAAUUCCUUUUUCUUAGUUCGGGUUGCCUCAACUCCAAAUGCUGAGACAAGGACUUGGUUGCAGGUGAUCUACUUGGGGCAUGAUCCCAGAGAAUGCAAGGGAGU